rnacentral:rRNA from 1 species
UGGGGAAUAUUGCACAAUGGGGGAAACCCUGAUGCAGCGACGCCGCGUGAGUGAAGAAGUAUUUCGGUAUGUAAAGCUCUGUCAGCAGGGAAGAAGAAAGACGGUACCUGACCAAGAAGCCCCGGCUAACUACGUGCCAGCAGCCGCGGUAAUACGUAGGGGGCAAGCGUUAUCCGGAAUCACUGGGUGUAAAGGGAGCGUAGACGGCUGUGCAAGCCUGGAGUGAAAGGCGGGGGCCCAACCCCCGGACUGCUCUGGGAACUGCAAAGCUGGAGUGCAGGAGAGGUAAGUGGAAUUCCUGGUGUAGCGGUGAAAUGCGUAGAUAUCAGGAGGAACACCAGUGGCGAAGGCGGCUUACUGGACUGUAACUGACGUUGAGGCUCGAAAGCGUGGGGAGCAA